UACGUAGGGUGCAAGCGUUUAAUCGGAAUACUGGGCGUAAAGCGUGCGCAGGCGGUGAUGUAAGACAGUUGUGAAAUCCCCGGGCUCAACCUGGGAACUGCAUCUGUGACUGCAUCGCUGGAGUACGGUAGAGGGGAUGGAAUUCCGCGUGUAGCAGUGAAAUGCGUAGAUAUGCGGAGGAACACCGAUGGCGAAGGCAAUCCCCUGGACCUGUACUGACGCUCAUG
rnacentral:rRNA from 1 species